rnacentral:rRNA from 1 species
UACGUAGGGGGCAAGCGUUGUCCGGAAUCAUUGGGCGUAAAGAGCGUGUAGGCGGCCCGGUAAGUCCGCUGUGAAAGUCCAGGGCUCAACCCUGGGAUGCCGGUGGAUACUGUCGGGCUCGAGUCCGGAAGAGGCGAGUGGAAUUCCUGGUGUAGCGGUGAAAUGCGCAGAUAUCAGGAGGAACACCGGUGGCGAAGGCGGCAUCCUGGACCGGCAUUGACGCUGAGGAGCGAAAGCCAGGGGAGCAAACGGG